rnacentral:rRNA from 1 species
AGUAACGGCGAGUGAAGCGGCAACAGCUCAAAUUUGAAAUCUGGCUCUUUCAGGGUCCGAGUUGUAAUUUGUAGAAGAUGCUUCGGGUGUGGCCCCGGUCUAAGUUCCUUGGAACAGGACGUCACAGAGGGUGAGAAUCCCGUACGUGCCCGGUGGCCGCCCCCGUGUGAAGCUCCUUCGACGAGUCGAGUUGUUUGGGA